rnacentral:rRNA from 1 species
CUACGGGAGGCAGCAGUGGGGAAUUUUGCGCAAUGGGGGAAACCCUGACGCAGCAACGCCGCGUGAGUGAUGAAGGCCUUCGGGUCGUAAAGCUCUGUCAGAGGGAAAGAAAUGCAUAGUGGCUAAUACCCAUUAUGCUUGACGGUACCCUCAAAGGAAGCACCGGCUAACUCCGUGCCAGCAGCCGCGGUAAUACGGAGGGUGCAAGCGUUGUUCGGAAUUAUUGGGCGUAAAGCGCGUGUAGGCGGUUUCUUAAGUCUGAUGUGAAAGCCCCGGGCUCAACCUGGGAAGUGCAUUGGAAACUGGGGAACUUGAAUACGGGAGAGGGCAGUGGAAUUCCUGGUGUAGGAGUGAAAUCCGUAGAUAUCAGGAGGAACACCGGUGGCGAAGGCGGCUGCCUGGACCGAUAUUGACGCUGAGACGCGAAAGCGUGGGGAGCAAACAGGAUUAGAUACCCCGGU